UACGUAGGGUGCAAGCGUUGUCCGGAAUUAUUGGGCGUAAAGGGUGCGUAGGCGGCGCGGUAAGUCGGGUGUGAAAUCUCGGAGCUUAACUCCGAAACUGCAUUCGAUACUGCCGUGCUUGAGGACUGGAGAGGAGACUGGAAUUUACGGUGUAGCGGUGAAAUGCGUAGAUAUCGUAAGGAAGACCAGUGGCGAAGGCGGGUCUCUGGACAGUUCCUGACGCUGAGGCACGAAGGCCAGGGGAGCAAACGGG
rnacentral:rRNA from 1 species